rnacentral:rRNA from 1 species
UACGGGGGGAGCAAGCGUUGUUCGGAUUUACUGGGCGUAAAGGGCGCGUAGGCGGCCACCGCAAGUCGACUGUGAAAUCUCCGGGCUUAACCCGGAAAGGUCAACUGAUACUGCGGGGCUAGAGUGCAGAAGGGGCAACUGGAAUUCUCGGUGUAGCGGUGAAAUGCGUAGAUAUCGAGAGGAACACCUGCGGCGAAGGCGGGUUGCUGGGCUGACACUGACGCUGAGGCGCGAAAGCCAGGGGAGCGAACGGG